rnacentral:rRNA from 1 species
AUACGGAGGAUGCGAGCGUUAUCCGGAUUUAUUGGGUUUAAAGGGAGCGUAGGUGGGAUCUUAAGUCAGCUGUGAAAGUUUGGGGCUCAACCUUAAAAUUGCAGUUGAUACUGGUUUCCUUGAGUACGGUACAGGUGGGCGGAAUUCGUGGGGUAGCGGUGAAAUGCUUAGAUAUCACGAAGAACUCCGAUCGCGAAGGCAGCUCACCGGGCCGGAACUGACACUGAUGCUCGAAAGUGCGGGUAUCAAACAGGAUUAGAUACCCUGGUAGUCCGCACAGUAAACGAUGAAUACUCGCUGUUUGCGAUACACGGUAAGCGGCCAAGCGAAAGCGUUAAGUAUUCCACCUGGGGAGUACGCCGGCAACGGUGAAACUCAAAUGAAUUGACGGGG